rnacentral:SRP_RNA from 1 species
GCCGGGUGUGGUGGCACAUGCCUGUAGUCCCAUAGUCCCAGCUACUUGGGAGGCUGAGGUGGGAGGAUUGCUUGAGUCCAGGAGUUCUGGGCUGUAGUGCGCUAUGGCGCACUAAGUUCAGCAUCAACAUGGUGACCUCCCGGGAGCAGGGGACCAUCAGGUUGCCUAAGGAGGGGUAAACUAGCUCAGGUCGGAAUCGGAGCAGGUCAAAACUCCCGUGCUGAUCAGUAGUAGGAUGGCACCUAUGAAUAAUCACUGCACUCCAGCCUGGGCAACAUAGCAAGACCCCAUCUCU